UUUUUGGAGAGUUUGAUCUUGGCUCAGGACGAACGCUGGCGGCGUGCCUAAUACAUGCAAGUCGAGCGCUGGAAGCUAAUUUCAUCCCUUUGGGAUGAAAUUAGUGGAAAGAGCGGCGGACGGGUGAGUAACACGUGGGCAACCUACCUAUAAGACUGGGAUAACUCGCGGAAACGUGAGCUAAUACCGGAUAAUACUUUUUAUUGCAUAAUAAGGAGUUUGAAAGGCGGCGUAAGCUGUCACUUAUAGAUGGGCCCGCGGCGCAUUAGCUAGUUGGUGAGGUAAAGGCUCACCAAGGCAACGAUGCGUAGCCGACCUGAGAGGGUGAUCGGCCACACUGGGACUGAGACACGGCCCAGACUCCUACGGGAGGCAGCAGUAGGGAAUCUUCCGCAAUGGACGAAAGUCUGACGGAGCAACGCCGCGUGAGUGAAGAAGGUUUUCGGAUCGUAAAACUCUGUUGUUAGGGAAGAACAAGUCAGGUAGUAACUGACCUGACCUUGACGGUACCUAACCAGAAAGCCACGGCUAACUACGUGCCAGCAGCCGCGGUAAUACGUAGGUGGCAAGCGUUGUCCGGAUUUAUUGGGCGUAAAGCGCUCGCAGGCGGUCUUUUAAGUCUGAUGUGAAAGCCCACGGCUUAACCGUGGAGGGUCAUUGGAAACUGGAGGACUUGAGUGCAGAAGAGGAGAGUGGAAUUCCAUGUGUAGCGGUGAAAUGCGUAGAGAUAUGGAGGAACACCAGUGGCGAAGGCGACUCUCUGGUCUGUAACUGACGCUGAGGAGCGAAAGCGUGGGUAGCGAACAGGAUUAGAUACCCUGGUAGUCCACGCCGUAAACGAUGAGUGCUAGGUGUUAGGGGGUUUCC
rnacentral:rRNA from 1 species